AUCUCAGAUUAGGUAAGACUACCCGCUGAAUUUAAGCAUAUAAUUAAGCGGAGGAAAAGAAACUAACAAGGAUUCCCCUAGUAACGGCGAGUGAACCGGGAAGAGCUCAAGCUGAAAAUCUUCGGAAUUGUGGUCUAUAGGUGCGGACUCGCGCAGCCCCAGGUAUAAAUCCGUUCUUGGAAUUGGGUGCCAGAGAGGGUUAGAGCCCCGUCUUUGACUUGGGUAGCUGUGCGUGGCGAGUCUUUACCGGAGAGUCGGCUUGCUUGGGAAUGCAGGCCAAAAUGGGUGGUAAACUUCAUCUAAAGCUAAAUAUUGGCGAGAGACCGAUAGCGAACAAGUACUGUGAAGGAAAGAUGGAAAGAACUUUGAAAAGAGAGUGAAAAAGGGCUUGAAAUUGUUAAGAGGAGAAGUGAUUGGAGCAUAUCAUACGGCGUGG
rnacentral:rRNA from 14 species